rnacentral:rRNA from 1 species
UACGAAGGGGGCUAGCGUUGUUCGGAUCUACUGGGCGUAAAGGGCGCGUAGGCGGAUUUUUAAGUCAGGGGUGAAAUCCCAAGGCUCAACCUUGGAACUGCCUUUGAUACUGGGAAUCUUGAGUCCGGGAGAGGUGAGUGGAACUGCGAGUGUAGAGGUGAAAUUCGUAGAUAUUCGCAAGAACACCAGUGGCGAAGGCGGCUCACUGGCCCGGAACUGACGCUGAGGCGCGAAAGCGUGGGGAGCAAACAGG